rnacentral:rRNA from 4 species
CCUACGGGAGGCAGCAGUGGGGAAUAUUGCACAAUGGGCGCAAGCCUGAUGCAGCCAUGCCGCGUGUGUGAAGAAGGCCUUCGGGUUGUAAAGCACUUUCAGUCAGGAGGAAAGGUUAGUAGUUAAUACCUGCUAGCUGUGACGUUACUGACAGAAGAAGCACCGGCUAACUCCGUGCCAGCAGCCGCGGUAAU